rnacentral:rRNA from 1 species
UACGUAGGGUGCGAGCGUUGUCCGGAAUUAUUGGGCGUAAAGAGCUCGUAGGCGGUCUGUCGCGUCGAUCGUGAAAACUUGGGGGCUUAACCCUGAGCUUGCGGUCGAUACGGGCAUGACUGGAGUUCGGCAGGGGAGACUGGAAUUCCUGGUGUAGCGGUGAAAUGCGCAGAUAUCAGGAGGAACACCGGUGGCGAAGGCGGGUCUCUGGGCCGAUACUGACGCUGAGGAGCGAAAGCGUGGGGAGCAAACAGG